GACGAACGCUGGCGGCGUGCUUAACACAUGCAAGUCGAGCGGUAAGGCCCUUUCGGGGGUACACGAGCGGCGAACGGGUGAGUAACACGUGGGUGACCUGCCCUCAGCUCUGGGAUAAGCUUGGGAAACCGGGCCUAAUACUGGAUAUGACUCCAUGACGCAUGUUGUGGGGUGGAAAGCCUUGUGCGGCUGAGGAUGGGCCCGCGGCCUAUCAGCUUGUUGGUGGGGUGANGGCCUACCAAGGCGACGACGGGUAGCCGGCCUGAGAGGGCGACCGGCCACACUGGGACUGAGACACGGCCCAGACUCCUACGGGAGGCAGCAGUGGGGAAUCUUGCGCAAUGGGCGAAAGCCUGACGCAGCGACGCCGCGUGAGGGAUGACGGCCU
rnacentral:rRNA from 1 species